rnacentral:rRNA from 1 species
GACGAACGCUGGCGGCGUGCCUAAUACAUGCAAGUCGAGCGGACGAAUCGAAAGCUUGCUUUUGAUUCGUUAGCGGCGGACGGGUGAGUAACACAUGGGCAACCUGCCCUGUAGACGGGGAUAACACCGAGAAAUCGGUGCUAAUACCGGAUAACACGAAAUGUCGCAUGACGUUUCGUUGAAAGACGGCGCAAGCUGCCGCUACAGGAUGGGCCCGCGGCGCAUUAGCUAGUUGGUGAGGUAACGGCUCACCAAGGCGACGAUACGUAGCCGACCUGAGAGGGUGAUCGGCCGCACUGGGACUGAGACACGGCCCAGACUCCUACGGGAGGCAGCAGUAGGGAAUCUUCCGCAAUGGACGAAAGUCUGACGGAGCAACGCCGCGUGAGCGAAGAAGGCCUUCGGGUCGUAAAGCUCUGUUGUUAGGGAAGAACAAGUAACGCAGUAACUGGCGUUACCGUGACGGUACCUAACGAGAAAGCCACGGCUAACUACGUG